UCAUGGGAGGAGUCGGGUGGAGGGAAGAAAAGGCCGGAAGUGGCCCGCCGCCAUUGUGCGGACCUGGCUGAGGCGAGGGCGCGGCGUUGCCGAAGACCCAGAAGGCCAGCUUUGAAGAACACCUGGAGGAAAAGUGAAUCCCAUGUCAUCUCUAUAGUACAGAAGAUGCAGAAAUGGUGAAGGGAAUGGGUCAGGCCAUUUUGGAUUAACAGCACACUACCACGUAGAGAUUACUGUAAUGCGGUGUAUUCACCGAACACAGAAAGGAAGUCACCCUUGCCGUCUCAUGUCUGAGAUCAGUGGUUUCCCGACCUGUGGGGUCACAAGCCCCCAAGGAUCCUCAGGGUUGUUGCAGGGGACUCUUGAAUCCAUCUGCACAGCGAUAAUUGCCUCCAGUUUGAGCAAGCAACAUCAUCAAACAAACAGUGUUUUCUGUUAGAAAGUCUAAGUGACUAUAGCUUCCCAUUAAAUAUAAACUAAUUAAAAAUGUAUUA